UACGUAGGGGGCGAGCGUUGUCCGGAUUUAUUGGGCGUAAAGAGCUCGUAGGCGGUUCGAUAAGUCGGACGUGAAAUCUCCACGCUCAACGUGGAGGGGCCGUUCGAUACUGUCGUGACUCGAGUCCGGAAGGGGCGAGUGGAAUUCCUGGUGUAGCGGUGAAAUGCGCAGAUAUCAGGAGGAACACCAAUGGCGAAGGCAGCUCGCUGGGACGGUACUGACGCUGAGGAGCGAAAGCAUGGGGAGCGAACAGG
rnacentral:rRNA from 1 species